CUUUUUGUUGUGCCUUUCUGUGACUCAGCAUCUUCACCAUUUGGUGAGCAGCAACAACUAUCCUUUUCAUAAUAUUGUUACAUUCCAUCCUGGAUUUUUCGUUGUUCAUCAGAGAAAAGAUUUUUCUGAGGAAUUAAACUAGAUGGUAGUGUAGAACUUGCAAACUUUUUAAAAUAUGAAGUAAAAGAUUUUAACUUUAAAUUAGGUUAAUUCAAAUAUGGGACAAUGUUGAGAAUUGAAAAGGUGGAAAAAAUAAAUAAGAUAUAUCUUAGUGGCAUUGAGAUGUCGUAUGACUGAUGGAGGAAAGAUUUUGCAUUUCUUUUUCCAAGUAAGAAUGCACUUGCUCUCACUUGCUUCAGUACAUGUCUAGUGAUUCACAUGAAACAGAGAAAAAGAUAGACUGCCCUGUUAAUGAACAUGAGAUUGCCCAGUAUCACUCUGACAGAAGAGUAUGGUGUUUCCUUGAUAUGGUAUCUGGUCAGCAAUGUCAUUGGGACCAAAUGAAAGUUACUGCAGAUACCACACAGAAGCAAUUACUGUUACUGGAAUACCAGUAAUGUUUAUUAAAUUCAGUUGUAAAGCAGUUCUGGGCAUUGCAGCUGGUGAGCAAUGUCAUUGGGCACCAAAAGAAGUUCAGUUAUGAUGGAUUUCUGGCCUUCAGUCCAUGGGAAAAUUCACACCAGAUUGCAUCAAGACUGUUAUAUUCCAAGGAUAUCUUGGAAGAUUGAUAGUAUUCCUGAACGAAAACAAUCCAUAUAGUAUUUCACGUGUGUAUCAAACUGCCAUUUGUUGUGGCACAUAAAUGUUUGCAACUUGAUUGUAAUUUUUGAACAGUUUCUCAACAAUCCAAGAAUUUCUUGUAAUGAGAAGUAGACAUUGUUGCUUGGGUAAAGGAAAUACAAAUCACGGUCAAUAUAACUACCUUAUUAACUUUCCACAGAGAAAUAUUUUUCACUACUGCUACUUAAAAAUUCAAAUGUGUGACAAAGUUUGCUUACAGAACUUGGCAUAAAGAUCUCCCUUAUUUGUAUUUUUUAGGUAGCUCUUAUUGUUUGAUCCUUCAAAUAGAAUGCUAUGACCUCCAUGUGAUCUAUUCCUUAGUAGUUAAUUAUCCAUUAAGGCACAAAUAUAUGAACAUUACAAUGAGAGGGGUCUUUAUGCCAGGCCCUGUAAAAGUAAUGGCAUCUUACUUAAUAUUAUUGUUGGGAAUUUGAUG